UACGUAGGCAGCAAGCGUUGUUCGGAAUUACUGGGCGUAAAGGGCGCGUAGGCGGCGACGAUAGUCAGAAGUGAAAGCCCCGGGCUCAACCUGGGAAUUGCUUUUGAUACUGUGUUGCUUGAGUUCGGGAGAGGUGAGUGGAAUUCCUGGUGUAGCGGUGAAAUGCGUAGAUAUCAGGAGGAACACCGGUGGUGUAGACGGCUAUCUGGACCGUAACUGACGCUGAGGCACGAAAGCGUGGGUAGCAAACAGG
rnacentral:rRNA from 1 species